GAUGAACGCUGGCGGCGUGCCUAAUACAUGCAAGUCGAGCGAACGGACGAGAAGCUUGCUCCUCUGAUGUUAUCGCCGGUCGGGUGAGUAACUCGUGGUUAACCUACCUAUACGACUGGGAUACCUUCGGGAAACCGGAGCUACUGCCGGAUAAUAUUUUGACCCGCAUGGUUCAAAAGUGAAAGAAGGUCUUGCUGUCACUUAUAGCUUGAUCAGCGCUUCAUCCGCUACUUGGUAAGGUAACGGAUUAGCAACGCAACGAUGCAUAACCGACCUGAGAGGGAGAGCGGCCACACUGUAACAGAGACACGGUCCAGACUCCUACGGGAGGCAGCAGUAGGGAAUCUUCCGGGAUGGGCGAAAGGCGGACGUAGCAACGCCGCGUGAGGGAUGAAGGUCUUCGGAUCGUAAAACUCUGGAAGUAGGGAAGUACAUAUGUGUAUGUAACUGGGCACAUCAUGACGGUACCUGGUCAGAAAGCCACGGCUAACUACGUG
rnacentral:rRNA from 1 species